rnacentral:lncRNA from 1 species
GGAAAAGUUAUUCAUAUUAUCAUUUGCAAUAUUGACAAUGUCUAGAAGUUCUGUCAAGUAGAGGUUUGGUCACCUAAUUGCGCGCCAAUAAGGAGAAAUCCUUAUCGGAAAGCCCCCUCUUUUCUGGGAACGACCUGGUUGUUAAAUAUUGUGAAUUAUAAUAUUAAUGAUGAAUAAGUUCGUGUUGAUUAAAGAUGAAUUUUAUAGUUCCAUUGUGUUGGACUUAUUUGUGUUAUUAAAAUUGAUGUCUGGAGAUUAUAUUGUUCAAUUGGGUAUUCAGGACACUUUUCUUGUCGGAGUACUAUUCACGAGUUACUAUUCAUGAGUUACUAUUCAUGAGUUAUUAUUCACUAGUUACUAUUCACGAGUUACUAUUCACGAGUUACUAUUCAUGAGUUACCAUUCAUGAUUUACUAUUCACGAGUUACUAUUCACAGUGUACUAUUCACCCGUAAGAUAUAUUUCUAUUCGGUCCAAAUCAUUUUUUGGUAAAAUAUUAUUCCAUGAGGAGAUGUGCUAAUUUUUCAGACCGUUGGUUGAAGAUAUAAUAAUAAAUCAAUAUGGACCACUCGUGGAAAGUAUAAUAGUAAUUAAUCAAUAUAGAUCGCUGGUUUAAAGUUUUAAUAGUAAAUCAGUAUGGACCAAUGCUUUAAAUUUUAAUAGUAAACCAAUAUGGAUCGUCCGUUUAAAAGUAAAUCAAUCUGGACCGUUCAUGAAUUAGUUAGUAUUCAGUCCAUUCUCCUAUAAAUAGAAAUUCAUUCCUCCAUUAUUUCUUACGAAUUCACUGAAACUCUAGAGAGAAACUAUAGAGAGAAAAAAGAAAAGUAUUCUGCUACUUCACUAUUCUAAUAUCCAGUUUCUUCUAAGGUAGGGAAUAUUAUUUGUUGUACUCAUAAGGGGUAUUCUUUCUUUCUUGUUCAUGAAGAGAACUUCUGUUAUUCCAUUAUUUAUUAUUUUGUUGGAAUUACUUGUAUACGCGGGAUACCCUAUACAUGGUGAAAUUCUUCUAAUAUUUCGUUCUUUAUUAUUCCGUCAGAAUAUCCUGUCUGUGUGUUUACGCCGGACUUGGUUCCAUUAUUAAUUAUUCUGUCGGAAUAUCUUAUCUGUUCGUUUAUGCCGG